CAUCCUCGCUCUCAGGUGGGCCAUGUCCGUGAGGCGAUGGCGGGGGAGGGGGGCCAGACCUGAAUGGCUGAGGGUGACCCAUCAGCGGAGAUGAUGCCAGCUCCAGGCCACCAGCUUCCACAGAAGUUCAGCACCAUGGAAGGAGCUGCCCUAACCGGCUACCAGCCACAAGGAGGGCUGAGUGACUCUUGACUCAAGGCGGAGCAGGAAGCUGGGUUGGGGGCCUGUUCCCUGCUCCGAGUAGGCCAGCUUGCUGUGUAGUAACCCAGAGAAGAAGUCACUGUGUCAGCUCAUCCUCCCCCUCUGCAGAGGCCAUACAACAUGACAUUGCAGCCCACCAAGGGCAGAGGCAGACACACCGGUCCUCCCCACCCCCACCUCCUCCUCUAAACCGGACGUUAAAAUGAUUUGCAAGAUGCAAACAA